rnacentral:misc_RNA from 1 species
AAAGGCUUAGUUGAGUUGAGUUGUCUUAGUUCUGAUAGUUGUUAGCAGUACUCAGCUAGUUAGCUUAUGUAAAGCUUCUAUUCAUUCUAAACUUAAAUCUUUGAUUCAAGGCUGGUUGGUUACUCUUGACUAUUUUAAGUACCAUUACAGAAAACGAAAUAUUUAUAUCAUAAUUAACUACAACAUAAACAUGUGGAGAAUAUUUAUUGAUACACAUGCAUUAUGAUGUAAUCUUGAUGUCAUUGUACUCCAAUCACGAUUUUGAAUAUCUUAUGGUACACAACAAAAUAAAUUUGGUAUAUAAAACAUUAUGCAUCAUACAUAUGCCCAAUUCAAAUAAUAUGGUGCCAUUUGAUUAUUCUCAUGAACUUUAAAAAUAUGCAUGUUUACUUUGGAUCUGUGCUUAUAAGAUUUAGGCUCCAUCAAUUUCCUAGUAAAUAACAUGUUUUUUGAAAAAAAUUGAGAAAAUUAUUUAUUUUUUAUUUUUUGAUUGAAUACUAGAAACUAGUUGAAAGUAAUUUUUUCGAAUUUCAAGUACUUUUGAAAAUAUGAAUUUUCUUUGAGUAUAUAAUACUGAAAAUGUUUGGAUCUACAAAGACUUCUUAUUUUUUCUAAUUUUAGUUAAAUACGAGAGCAUUCGUUAAAAAAAUGAUGAAAGUAAGAGAGGGAGGGGGACCUUGUGGGUGUUGUUUAUUGACAACAAUCCAAUGGUCGAUGACGACUGAAGAUGAUCACCAAAUCAUUGAUGCAUCUAAAGUCACAUGGUUAAAUAUUUUCCUUAUAGAUUCCUUCCAUUUUAUAAGUUUGUGAUAGUCUAGAAAAAGACAUACCAAUUUGAAAUUUGCCUAGAAAA